UGCUAGGAUUAUAGGCAUGAGCCACCGCGCCCAGCCUUGUGGCUGUUUUUAAUGUAUUUUCCAUUUUCACCCUUGAUAUAUUGAAGUCAGACUCUGUAGUGCAUUCAUCAUCCUUGAGUUGCAUUCAUAGAUAAAAUGCAGUUUAUAGCCUCCAGCUCUACAUGCAUGGGUUUAAACCCUAGUCUUACCACUUAAGUAUUUUGUAUUUUUGGAUAUUUAAAUAGUUUAAGUCUCAAUUUCCCUGUCUGUAAAAUGUAGAUGAGAAUAGUGCAUAUGCCAUGUGAUUACGAUGAGUAAAUGAUGUACCUGCAUGUCAACUGUUUAGCGCAGUGCCUGACACAUAAAUGUUCAAUAUAGGUUAUUUGCAGUGUUCUCAUUUUUAAAAAUUAGAACAAAACUGAUAUACACUGACAUUUAUUUUUUUUUAAAGUAACUGGCAAGUGACAUCAGACCACUAAUUUCUUUCUCAUAGAUAUUAUGAUAUUUAAAUAUGUCCUCUUUUAGCAAACAAAGCUUUAAUCAGCUAUCAAACAUAUGAUUUUUAAGCACCUUAUUUUCAAAGAAUUUAUCCAUAUUCCCUUAGGAUCAGACCAAAUGGCCUAACUGAUUUACUAUUCCCCCUUAAGGUCACUUGGUUAAUGACAAUAAGACACUUAAUUGUGAUAGAGUUGCAGGUCAAGCUUCCCAGCUACCCCAGUUUUACUGAAAUGUGCCUCUUGCUUUCUCUUUUCAGUCUUGUUCUCUAUUAAGUCAGAUCUCUGAUGAUUGUGUUAUCAAUCACACUAGCAACACUUACUAUGUCCAAUAAUAUUCUUAGAAAAUAAUGUAUAAUCUUUAGUGAUAAACUUCUGUCGCUAUUUUUAUUGCACAUGGUAAGUAAAGCAAUGUGCGAAUACCUGAGUUGGUAAAUGGAAUGUACCAAGAUGUAUAGUUGACUCUUUUUUAUAAAUUUAGGAAGUAUUCAAAUCACUUAGUUCCUGGGCUUUUUAUGACUAUGAUUCUUAGAUUGAAUCUCUAGAAAGGUAAAUAACUUAAUUAUUUGAAUUCAAAUCAGCAUGGGCUUGUCUUCUCUUAUUAUGAAUAUCGUCAUUAUUUAAUGACAACACUGGAAUUUUCUGUUUUAUGGAAAGUAAUGAAUCAUCCAGCUAUCUAUGAAGGUAGAGUAUGACAGAUGUGACAGUCCACAGAAGAUUCUGUCAGCAAUGAGAUAUCCAC